AUUGAACGCUGGCGGCAUGCCUUACACAUGCAAGUCGAACGGUAACGCGGGGCAACCUGGCGACGAGUGGCGAACGGGUGAGUAAUGUAUCGGAACGUGCCCAGUUGUGGGGGAUAACUGCUCGAAAGAGCAGCUAAUACCGCAUACGACCUGAGGGUGAAAGCGGGGGAUCGCAAGACCUCGCGCAAUUGGAGCGGCCGAUAUCAGAUUAGGUAGUUGGUGGGGUAAAGGCCCACCAAGCCAACGAUCUGUAGCUGGUCUGAGAGGACGACCAGCCACACUGGGACUGAUACACGGCCCAGACUCCUACGGGAGGCAGCAGUGGGGAAUUUUGGACAAUGGGCGCAAGCCUGAUCCAGCCAUGCCGCGUGCGGGAAGAAGGCCUUCGGGUUGUAAACCGCUUUUGUCAGGGAAGAAACGCUCUGGGCUAAUACCCUGGGGUAAUGACGGUACCGUAAGAAUAAGCACCGGCUAACUACGUGCCAGCAGCCGCCGUAAUAC
rnacentral:rRNA from 1 species